rnacentral:rRNA from 1 species
AACGCUGGCGGCAGGCUUAACACAUGCAAGUCGAGCGGGCGUAGCAAUACGUCAGCGGCAGACGGGUGAGUAACGCGUGGGAACAUACCUUUUGGUUCGGAACAACACAGGGAAACUUGUGCUAAUACCGGAUAAGCCCUUACGGGGAAAGAUUUAUCGCCGAAAGAUUGGCCCGCGUCUGAUUAGCUAGUUGGUGAGGUAAUGGCUCACCAAGGCGACGAUCAGUAGCUGGUCUGAGAGGAUGAUCAGCCACAUUGGGACUGAGACACGGCCCAAACUCCUACGGGAGGCAGCAGUGGGGAAUAUUGGACAAUGGGGGCAACCCUGAUCCAGCCAUGCCGCGUGAGUGAUGAAGGCCCUAGGGUUGUAAAGCUCUUUUGUGCGGGAAGAUAAUGACGGUACCGCAAGAAUAAGCCCCGGCUAACUUCGUGCCAGCAGCCGCGGUAAUACGAAGGGGGCUAGCGUUGCUCGGAAUCACUGGGCGUAAAGGGUGCGUAGGCGGGUCUUUAAGUCAGGGGUGAAAUCCUGGAGCUCAACUCCAGAACUGCCUUUGAUACUGAAGAUCUUGAGUUCGGGAGAGGUGAGUGGAACUGCGAGUGUAGAGGUGAAAUUCGUAGAUAUUCNCAAGAACACCAGUGGCGAAGGCGGCUCACUGGCCCGAUACUGAC